UGGGGAAUUUUGGACAAUGGGCGAAAGCCUGAUCCAGCAAUGCCGCGUGUGUGAAGAAGGCCUUCGGGUUGUAAAGCACUUUUGUCCGGAAAGAAAUCCUUGGCUCUAAUACAGUCGGGGGAUGACGGUACCGGAAGAAUAAGCACCGGCUAACUACGUGCCAGCAGCCGCGGUAAUACGUAGGGUGCAAGCGUUAAUCGGAAUUACUGGGCGUAAAGCGUGCGCAGGCGGUUUGCUAAGACCGAUGUGAAAUCCCCGGGCUCAACCUGGGAACUGCAUUGGUGACUGGCAGGCUAGAGUAUGGCAGAGGGGGGUAGAAUUCCACGUGUAGCAGUGAAAUGCGUAGAGAUGUGGAGGAAUACCGAUGGCGAAGGCAGCCCCCUGGGCCAAUACUGACGCUCAUGCACGAAAGCGUGGGGAGCAAACAGGAUUAGAUACCCUGGUAGUCCACGCCCUAAACGAUGUCAACUAGUUGUUGGGGAUUCAUUUCCUUAGUAACGUAGCUAACGCGUGAAGUUGACCGCCCGGGGAGUACGGUCGCAAGAUUAAAACUCAAAUGAAUUGACGGGGUCAUAGCUG
rnacentral:rRNA from 1 species